GUAUGGCAGCAGGGCGUCGUCUCUAUCUCGUCUUAUACCGUUCUACAACUACUAUUUGACGAAGCUGUGAAAGGCGAAGUCAUCAACGUGUACCUACAUCAUCUAUGCAGCAAUGAAUAUCAGCUCCAACACAAUCCGCAAGUGUGGUGUGGUUGUGUGCCAUGGUUCGUAGCGAAAGCCGUGAACAACGCGCUAUCACGACCAAGCAGGGGAGCGAAAAAGCCGAUCAUCAAUAGGGGUAAUGUGGUCACGUUUGCCAACUCACUGCAAGUGACUGUAGGCCAAAAGAUCGCCGGAAUUAUGGACAAAAUCUGGUCUGGGUGCCGGUACAUAUUUCUACCCGUACACACCCGGUUUCACUGGCAUCUCUGCAUAUUGGAUACCGUCAAACACGUUAUGCUGGAGUGUAACUCAAUGCGCGACUCCUUCGGCCAGGGGAAUGCAAAGAAAUUGACGCGAUUUUUAUCAUUGUACAUGAACGCGUCACGACUAUGGCCUAUGGUCAGCGACACACCCGAGUACAUUAGAUUCCAA